GACGAACGCUGGCGGCGUGCUUAACACAUGCAAGUCGAGCGGUGCGGCGCACGGGUGAGUAUCGCGUGAGUAACUUCCCACCUCUCUGGGGUAACCGUUCGAAACGGGGCCUAAUACCGGAUUGUGGGGGAUGACUCGCGUCCUAUCGGCUUGUUGGUGGGGGAGUGGCUUACCAAGGCGACGACGGGUAGCCGGCCUGGGAGGGGGACCGGCAUCAGUGGGCUGAGAUAGGGACCAAAGUCGUACGGGAGGCAGCAGUGGGGAAUAUUGCACAAUGGGGGAAACUCUGAUGCAGAAACGCCGGGUGCGUGAUGACGGCCUUCGGGUUGGAAACCGCAUUCAGCCAUGACGCGGUAGUGGCAGAAGAAGCACCGGCUAACUACGUGCCAGCAGCCGCGGUAAUAC
rnacentral:rRNA from 1 species